rnacentral:piRNA from 1 species
UCAGUCCACCAAGGAGAAGCAGCUGGUCGC